AAGCCCUGGAAACGGGGUCUAAUACCGGAUACUGACCCGCUUGGGCAUCCAAGCGGUUCGAAAGCUCCGGCGGUGCAGGAUGAGCCCGCGGCCUAUCAGCUUGUUGGUGAGGUAAUGGCUCACCAAGGCGACGACGGGUAGCCGGCCUGAGAGGGCGACCGGCCACACUGGGACUGAGACACGGCCCAGACUCCUACGGGAGGCAGCAGUGGGGAAUAUUGCACAAUGGGCGAAAGCCUGAUGCAGCGACGCCGCGUGAGGGAUGACGGCCUUCGGGUUGUAAACCUCUUUCAGCAGGGAAGAAGCGAAAGUGACGGUACCUGCAGAAGAAGCGCCGGCUAACUACGUGCCA
rnacentral:rRNA from 1 species